rnacentral:lncRNA from 1 species
CCUUACUGUAUUAUGUUUCUGCCCCAGUGAAAAGAGUAUUUGGUUGUUACCACCAUGAAGCUUUGACACUUUGACCUUGUGGCUCAUAUAUUCUAUAAUAUAAUAUGAGCGAUCGGAAACAGUGGAAGUGUGGACAAACAUAUUUUUUAUAUAUGUUAAAAUCUUGAAGUCUCUAGGGAACGUUUGGUUUUGGAAGUUGAGUUUGGCAGAUCAGGAAAUGGUCACGUAAGUAACUGGAACUGCCAUGUACUUUACGUCAUUUUUUUUAGCAUUGAUACUUGACCUACUCUUAGAUGUGUACUUGUUAGAAGGGAAAGUUACAGCCCAUGUGACUAUAUCUGAUAGCAACAACCACAAUAUCUCUUGUCUCACCAAGACCUGCUACUCAAAACUAGUCCUGUUUAAUUUUUCAAAACGGUAACAGGCUUCUUAGUAACAAUAAUUCAACAAUUUACAAUGUAACAACAUUAUGAGUUAACGCUUAAGUUGUCUGUGAGAUUCUCUACCUAUAGGCUACUCUACCUGAACGUUACCAUGUAAAUGCUAACACCUUAUCUGAUGGAAUGUGUUAUUAAGAGUUCACGGAGGAAACGUCACAUAGCCGUGAACCAACUGAAAAAAACCACAGAAAAAAAUGUUCCACCUGAUUGGCCAAUGACAGGUUAAACUUCCUUUAAUGAAAAAGUCUGCAUGAUAUCUGUGUGUACGAACAGCUUCACUGUCUUUUAUCUGCCGGUCAUCGUCACACAUGGAUGGGUUGCAAAUUCUUACAGUCGUUCUCUUAGGAGUUGUUUCUUACAGUCAUGGUUGGAUUUCUGGACCAGUGUUGGAGGUGACAGUCAGACCAGGAGACAACAUCACUCUCUACUGUGACUGCAAAUUAUCAAGUGGAGUAUACAUAGUGUGGUACAGAAACUGCUCUCAUGAGAACCAGCCUUCUCUUGUCCUUGAAUCAAAACUUGAAUUAUAUGUGUUAACCGUUCUCCCUGGUUUUCAAUUUGUGAGAAACCAUUCCUCUGCCUCCUAUGACUUGUUGAUCAUGAACGUCACUGAUGCAGAUGAGGGUCUCUACUACUGUGGAACUAAACAGAUCAAGGUGGAGGACAAAGAAUUCAUCACUCCCAGAUAUGAUUACAGAUAUGGCAACGUCACAACAAGGAUCGGGAUCAUAGUCAAUUCCAGCCUUGACUCCAGUGGGUGCAUCUCAAGUCUUGUGCCUUCUGUGUCCUGGGUGAUGGUGUUCACUCCAGCCCUCAUGAUCCUCUCCUCCUUCCUCUCCUUUAUUCUGAUUCAUCACUUCUGUCAGAAAGCAGACAAGGAACGUCAAAUUCUCCAGAAAAGACCUGACGCCUGGGCACAAACAAGUUGGAAUAAGGAUGAAGAUGUGUAUUCAACACAAGUUGUGUUUCGGGCUAAGGAAGAAUAA